rfam:Candidatus Syntrophoarchaeum butanivorans isolate BOX1 BOX1_11reassembly_contig03, whole genome shotgun sequence.
GCCGCUAUAACUCAGUUGGUAGAGUGUCUGGCUGUUAACCAGAUAGUCGGAGGUUCGAGUCCUCCUGGCGGCG